CAGCCGCCGCGGGAAUACGAAGGGGGCUAGCGUUGUUCGGAUUUACUGGGCGUAAAGCGCACGUAAGCGGAUCGAUCAGUCAGGGGUGAAAUCCCAGAGCUCAACUCUGGAACUGCCUUUGAUACUGUCGAUCUGGAGUAUGGAAGAGGUGAGUGGAAUUCCGAGUGUAGAGGUGAAGUUCGUAGAUAUUCGGAGGAACACCAGUGGCGAAGGCGGCUCACUGGUCCAUUACUGACGCUGAGGUGCGAAAGCGUGGGGGGCAAACAGGAUUAGAUACCCGUGUAGUCCCUGUCUCUUAUAC
rnacentral:rRNA from 1 species